CGGACGGGUGAGUAACGCGUGGGUAACCUGCCUCACACUGGGGGAUAACAGUUAGAAAUAGCUGCUAAUACCGCAUAAGCGCACAGUUCCGCAUGGAACAGUGUGAAAAACUCCGGUGGUGUGAGAUGGACCCGCGUCUGAUUAGCCAGUUGGCGGGGUAACGGCCCACCAAAGCGACGAUCAGUAGCCGGCCUGAGAGGGUGAACGGCCACAUUGGGACUGAGACACGGCCCAAACUCCUACGGGAGGCAGCAUG
rnacentral:rRNA from 1 species